rnacentral:lncRNA from 1 species
AAAAAAAAAAAAAAAAAAAAAAGAAAGGAUCCACACUUAGUGAUACUUGUGGGCCAGGGCAUUAGCCACACCAGCCACCACUUUCUGAUAGGCAGCCUGCACUGGGCCUCACCACCAACUUCAUCCACGUUCACCUUGCCCCACAGGGCAGUAACGGCAGACUUCUCCUCAGGAGUCAGAUGCACCAUGGUGUCUGUUUGAGGUUGCUAGUGAACACUGUUAUGUCAGAAGAAAGUGUAAGCAACAGUCGACUCUGCCCUGCCUUUUAUGCUGGUCC